rnacentral:rRNA from 1 species
UGACCAACCUGCCCCUAACUCUGGGAUAACCCCGGGAAACCGGAGCUAAUACCGGAUACGAGACCGAGUGGCAUCACACGGUCUGGAAAGUUUUUCGGUUAGGGAUGGGGUCGCGGCCUAUCAGCUUGUUGGUGGGGUAAUGGCCUACCAAGGCGUCGACGGGUAGCCGGCCUGAGAGGGCGACCGGCCACACUGGGACUGAGACACGGCCCAGACUCCGUACGGGAGGCA